rnacentral:rRNA from 1 species
GAUGAACGCUGGCGGCGUGCCUAAUACAUGCAAGUCGAGCGAACGGACGAGAAGCUUGCUUCUCUGAUGUUAGCGGCGGACGGGUGAGUAACACGUGGAUAACCUACCUAUAAGACUGGGAUAACUUCGGGAAACCGUAGCUAAUACCGGAUAAUAUUUUGAACCGCAUGGUUCAAAAGUGAAAGACGGUCUUGCUGUCACUUAUAGAUGGAUCCGCGCUGCAUUAGCUAGUUGGUAAGGUAACGGCUUACCAAGGCAACGAUGCAUAGCCGACCUGAGAGGGUGAUCGGCCACACUGGAACUGAGACACGGUCCAGACUCCUACGGGAGGCAGCAGUAGGGAAUCUUCCGCAAUGGGCGAGAGCCUGACGGAGCAACGCCGCGUGAGUGAUGAAGGUCUUCGGAUCGUAAAACUCUGUUAUUAGGGAAGAACAUAUGUGUAAGUAACUGUGCACAUCUUGACGGUACCUAAUCAGAAAGCCACGGCUAACUACGUG